UACAGGAGGUCCCAAGCGUUGUUCGGAUUCACUGGGCGUAAAGGGUGCGUAGGCGGUCGGGUAAGUCUGAUGUGAAAUCUCACAGCUUAACUGUGAAACUGCAUUGGAUACUAUCCGACUCGAGGAAUGGAGGGGAGACUGGAAUUCUCGGUGUAGCAGUGAAAUGCGUAGAUAUCGAGAGGAACACCAGUGGCGAAGGCGGCGAUCUGGGUAGAUACUGACGCUGAGGUGCGAAAGCGUGGGGAGCAAACAGG
rnacentral:rRNA from 1 species